UGCGUAGCCGACUUGAGAGGGUGAUCGGCCACAGUGGGACUGAGACACGACCCAGACUCCUACGGGAAGCAGCAGUAGGGAAUCUUCAGCAAUGGACGAAAGUCUGACGGAGCACCGCCGCAUGAGUGAUGAAGGCUUUCGGGUCGUAAAACUCUGUUAUUAGGGAAGAACAAGUACUAGUUGAAUAAGCUGGCACCUUGACGGUACCUAACCAGAAAACCACGACUAACUAGGUGCCAGCAGCCGCGGUAAUACGUAGGUGGCAAGCGUUAUCCGGAAUUAAUAUUUGGGCGAAUAAAGCGCGCGCAGGUUUUUUUUUAAUUUUGUUGUGAAAGCCCUCGGCUCAACCGUGGAGGGUCUUUGGAAACUGGGAUACUUGAUUGCAGAAGAGGAAAGUGGAAUUCCAUUUGUAGCGGUGAAAUUCGUUUUUAGAUAGGGAGGAACACCGGUGGCGAAGGGGAUUUCUUCUGUGUCUCUGUAACUGACACAGUGGAGCGCGAGAAAGCGUGGGGAGAACAAACAGAAUUAGAUACACCCUGGUAGUCCCACGCCGUCAACAGAUGAGUGCUAAGUGUGUAGAGGGUUUCCCCCCUUUUAGUGCUGAAGUUAACACAUUACUCACUCCGCCUGGAGAGUACGGCCGCAAGGAAUGAAACUAAAAGGAAUUGACGGGGGCCCGCACAAGCGGAGGAGGUUGUGGUUUAAUUCGAAACAACGAGAACAACCUUACCAGGUCUCGACAUACUCUGAAAACUACUAGAGAUACUUCUUUCUCCUUCGGAAGAAGAGUGACAGGUGGUGCAUGGUCUGUCGUCACCUCGUGUCGAGAGAUGUUGGGUCAAGUCCCGCAACCAGCGCAACCCUUGAUCUUACUUGUCUAUCAUUAAGUUGGCCACUCUAACGGUGACUGCCCGUGACAAACCAGAGGAAGGAGGGGAUGACUUCUCAUCCUCAUGUCUCCUUGUGACCUGGGCUACACACGUGCUACAAUGGACGGUACCUACAGCUGCGCGAGCGCGAGGUGGACCUAAUCUCAUAAUCUCCGUUCUGAUUUCGGAUUGUAGGCUCGCA
rnacentral:rRNA from 1 species